rnacentral:lncRNA from 1 species
CUUGCAUAGAUCUUGAAGCAGCCAUUGCACGACCCAAUGGUGUAUUUGUGUGAAGAAAAUCUUUAUUUGAGUGCCAAUCUCAUGUCAAAGGAAAAAUAAAUGUUGAAACACCAGCAAAUAUGCCUUCUAAAGUUAAAUUUCAGGCAUUCUCUAAUGAAACUUUCAACAGAAAGAUGGUACAACACCCUCAACUGAUCAC